GCAUAGUGGAGACAGCAUCUGAUAUAGGCCUCGAAGAACCCACAGGGUUGCGAAUACAGGAGAGGCCACUCCAGAUGGAAGGUCUCCCACUUGUUCUAUAGGCAGUUAGUUACACCACGGGGCCCAUGCUACCAGCCAGAUUUUUAGAAGACCCCUACAAAUGCUGGGGUCCGACCUGGGAGGCACUUCCGCUGAGCAGUUGGCUAAGUUUAGAUUCGGAGAGUGCAAGGGGGAGCUCGGACUCAUGCAGGUGGGCACCCUCUUCCUUCCUUAGCUCUGACUCUCCGCGAGCCGCUCCCACCAGAGAAAGGUUGCUUGGGCCAUACAGACUGCAGAGGCUGCCGCUCCCCACACCAGAUUCCUGCGCUUCGGAGCGCGGCUGCAAUGAGGAGACCUGGGUCCCGCCCCAACCCGAGGGGGGAGGCGCAGCGCCCAGCUCAGGGAGCUUCUUCCCCACCCCCCUCCUUCCUCCCGCUGCAGCUGAGGCUGUGGAGACUGCCUGAGCGGGGGUGGGGGGCAGGGUAAGGGGCGGAGCCAGGGAGGAGUCGCGGCGUUGGCUGCCCCGGCGGCAGCAGGUGUGGACCCCACCGAGGUGCGGGGCUAACCACUCCCGCCUGCGCUUGCGGGAGGCCGAGGCUCUGGGGCCAGGACUGCCUACCUGGAGGCGCUUCGUGUGCGGCUUCAACCUGCGCACAACUUGGGGCGCGGCCCGGGACGCGCAGGUUCCACGUCUGGCGCCUGGAAGAGAAAGACGCACGGCCCAAGUCGCGGCGCUAGCUCGGACCUGACCUGAGAGGAGGCGGCCUGAGGGCGGCGGGGGCUGAGGGCCAGCGGGAUGGCGCCUCUGCUUGGGACCCUGGCGAGGCCGCGCGGCGCCUCCGCACUCCAGCCCGACCCUCAGGUAAAGAUGGAUUCCCUCAAAAUACCUCUUCACGGCCAUUUCCAGGGCAGAUGCCUGCUCUCCCCUCACCUGCACCAAGCAGGACUCCAGGUCUUCCAGAUGCUGAUGGAGUCCAGAGCAGAGCUUGUCCAGGAGGGUGGAGUCCCAGGCAGCAGAGGAGCGCUCUGUGUGGAGGAGGAGGAAGGUCUGCUGGAGCAUCUCAUGGAGGACAGAGAUGGCCUGGGUCUUCUGCAGCUGGCUGCCUUCCACCAUCUCCUGGGGAACCCGAAGUCUUUUCUAUCCUUCAGACAGAAGGAAGGGGAGAGUCUCCUCAUCUGACGCAGAAGCACCAGGUUCUUCCUGCUGACAUGCACGUGGUUCUGAAACAGGUCACAGCCCAGAGAUGCCCAGGGCCAUAGCUGAACACCACCAGGGCCGUCAAUAGAGAGAGCACGAAGGCCAUGGGGAAAAUGAGGGUGCAACUGGCCUGGCUGAGACCUUGCAGGUAGGUUCUCUGAUGACAUUCUCCCUAAGCAUGGCUUUUAAAUAAGGAACACAGUUUCCAUUUUCUGAAAAUUUCUCUGUACUUUCACUUCCACUUUGUUUUUCAUUUAGAUAUUUUCUGUUUGACCUGAGAAUAUGUAA
rnacentral:lncRNA from 1 species